rnacentral:rRNA from 1 species
AUUGAACGUUGGCGGCACGCCUAAUACAUGCAAGUCGAACGAGAAAGCGCCUUCGGGUGUGAGUAAAGUGGCGGACGGGUGAGUAACGCGUAGGAAUUUGCCUAGCAGUGGGGGACAACUCGGGGAAACUCGAGCUAAUACCGCAUAAUAUCUACGGAUUAAAGUGGGGGAUCUUCGGACCUCACGCUGCUAGAGGAGCCUGCGUUGGAUUAGCUUGUUGGUGGGGUAAUGGCCUACCAAGGCGACGAUCCAUAGCUGGUCUGAGAGGACGAUCAGCCACACUGGAACUGAGACACGGUCCAGACUCCUACGGGAGGCAGCAGUAGGGAAUCUUGGGCAAUGGGCGAAAGCCUGACCCAGCGAUGCCGCGUGUGUGAAGAAGGCCUUCGGGUUGUAAAGCACUUUCAGCAGCGAAGAAAUGUCGGGGGCUAAUAUCCCUCUGGCUUUGACGUUAACUGCAGAAGAAGUACCGGCUAACUCCGUG